rnacentral:tRNA from 1 species
AAAUAGUUUAAAUAAAAAUUUAAUAUUGAAGUUAUUAAGAUGAUUUUUUAAUCUUUA